rnacentral:rRNA from 1 species
AUUGAACGCUGGCGGCAGGCCUAACACAUGCAAGUCGAACGAGUGGCGGACGGGUGAGUAAUGUCUGGGAAACUGCCCGAUGGAGGGGGAUAAAUACUGGAAACGGUAGCUAAUACCGCAUACCAUCGGAUGUGCCCACAUGGGCUUAGCUGGUAGGUGAGGUAACGGCUCAACUAGGCGACGAACCCUAGCUGGUCUGAGAGGAUGACCAGCCAAACCGUGACGGAGAGACGGUCCAGACUCCUACGGGAGGCAGCAGUGGGGAAUAUUGCACAAUGGGCGCAAGCCUGAGGCAGCCAUGCCGCGUGGAUGAAGAAGGCCGUCGGUGUGUAAAGUACUUUCAGCGGGGAGGCGUUACCCGCAGAAGAAGCACCGGCUAACUCCGUGCCAGCAGCCGCGGUAAUAC